UACGUAGGGACCAAGCGUUGUUCGGAUUUACUGGGCGUAAAGGGCGCGUAGGCGGCAAUUCAAGUCAGCCGUGAAAUCUCUGGGCUUAACCCAGAACGGCCAGCUGAUACUGCUUUGCUAGAGUGCAGAAGGGGCAAUCGGAAUUCUUGGUGUAGCGGUGAAAUGCGUAGAUAUCAAGAGGAACACCUGAGGUGAAGACGGGUUGCUGGGCUGACACUGACGCUGAGGCGCGAAAGCCAGGGGAGCAAACGGG
rnacentral:rRNA from 1 species